rnacentral:rRNA from 1 species
GAAUUCGAUUAGAGUUUGAUCCUGGCUCAGAUUGUUUGCUGGCGGCAGGCUUAACACAUGCAAGUCGAGCGGUAGCACAGGGGAGCUUGCUCCCCGGGUGACGAGCGGCGGACGGGUGAGUAAUGUCUGGGAAACUGCCUGAUGGAGGGGGAUAACUACUGGAAACGGUAGCUAAUACCGCAUAACGUCGCAAGACCAAAGAGGGGGACCUUCGGGCCUCUUGCCAUCAGAUGUGCCCAGAUGGGAUUAGCUAGUAGGUGGGGUAAUGGCUCACCUAGGCGACGAUCCCUAGCUGGUCUGAGAGGAUGACCAGCCACACUGGAACUGAGACACGGUCCAUACUCCUACGGGAGGCAGCAGUGGGGAAUAUUGCACAAUGGGCGCAAGCCUGAUGCAGCCAUGCCGCGUGUGUGAAGAAGGCCUUCGGGUUGUAAAUUCACUUUCAGCGUGGCGGAAGGUGGUGAGCUUAUUACGUUAAUCAACGUGACUCCACUCACAAAAGAACCACCGUAUAAGUCCCUGCACCCUACCCUCAGAAUUACGGAGGGUGCGAAACUUAAUCUCAAUUACCCGGAAGCUAAGCGCACGCAGACGAUUUACUCAAUUAAAUAACACCUCAGCUGUAUUUAAACUUUUAAUUUCAUUACAAGUUGGUUAAUUUUCAGUCACAUAAUGCAAUACUCUCAUUACCACCGGAUAUCUAAUUACCUUUCAGAAUGUCAACACAAUGAAGAACACAACCCUUUUGACUAUAAUUGAACCAAGAAACAU